AUACUUACCUGGCAGGGGAGAUACCAUGAUCAUGAAGGUGGUUUUCCUGGGGUGAGGAUUAUCCGUUGCUCUCCGAAUGUGCUGACCUCUGUGAUUUCCCCAAAUGCAAGAAACUUGAUUGCCCACUUUGUGGUAGUGGGGGAUUGCUUUCAUGCUCUUCCCUG
ensembl:snRNA U1 U1 spliceosomal RNA